GCCUACGGGGGGCAGCAGUAGGGAAUCUUCCACAAUGGGCGAAAGCCUGAUGGAGCAACGCCGCGUGGGUGAAGAAGGUCUUCGGAUCGUAAAACCCUGUUGUUAGAGAAGAAAGUGCGUGAGAGUAACUGUUCACGCUUCGACGGUAUCUAACCAGAAAGCCACGGCUAACUACGUGCCAGCAGCCGCGGCAAUACGUAGGUGGCAAGCGUUAUCCGGAUUUAUUGGGCGUAAAGGGAACGCAGGCGGUCUUUUAAGGCUGAUGUGAAAGCCUUCGGCUUAACCGGAGUAGUGCAUUGGAAGCU
rnacentral:rRNA from 1 species